rnacentral:piRNA from 1 species
UGACUUAAGAAUGUAGUUUCAAAGGGGAUG